rnacentral:rRNA from 1 species
CAAGUCGAACGGCAGCACGGGAGCAAUCCUGGUGGCGAGUGGCGAACGGGUGAGUAAUACAUCGGAACGUGCCCUGUCGUGGGGGAUAACUAGUCGAAAGAUUAGCUAAUACCGCAUACGUCCUGAGGGUGAAAGCGGGGGACCGCAAGGCCUCGCGCGAUAGGAGCGGCCGAUGUCUGAUUAGCUAGUUGGUGGGGUAAAGGCCCACCAAGGCGACGAUCAGUAGCUGGUCUGAGAGGACGAUCAGCCACACUGGGACUGAGACACGGCCCAGACUCCUACGGGAGGCAGCAGUGGGGAAUUUUGGACAAUGGGGGCAACCCUGAUCCAGCAAUGCCGCGUGUGUGAAGAAGGCCUUCGGGUUGUAAAGCACUUUUGUCCGGAAAGAAAUCCCUUGCCCUAAUACGGCGGGGGGAUGACGGUACCGGAAGAAUAAGCACCGGCUAACUACGUGCCAGCAGCCGCGGU